GUAAUGCCGGAUGCUCCAGUUGAUCGCAUGGUCUUCUGGGAAAGCUUUCGCGGUAUGGGAUGGGGUCGCGUCCUAUCAGCUUGACGGCGGGGUAACGGCCCACCGUGGCUUCGACGGGUAGCCGGCCUGAGAGGGCGACCGGCCACAUUGGGACUGAGAUACGGCCCAGACUCCUACGGGAGGCAGCAGUGGGGAAUAUUGCACAAUGGGCGCAAGCCUGAUGCAGCGACGCCGCGUGAGGGAUGGAGGCCUUCGGGUUGUAAACCUCUUUUAUCGGGGAGCAAGCGAGAGUGAGUUUACCCGUUGAAUAAGCACCGGCUAACUACGUGCCAGCAGCCGCGGUAAUACGUAGGGUGCAAGCGUUAUCCGGAAUUAUUGGGCGUAAAGGGCUCGUAGGCGGUUCGUCGCGUCCGGUGUGAAAGUCCAUCGCUUAACGGUGGAUCCGCGCCGGGUACGGGCGGGCUUGAGUGCGGUAGGGGAGACUGGAAUUCCCGGUGUAACGGUGGAAUGUGUAGAUAUCGGAAAAGAAC
rnacentral:rRNA from 1 species